UACAGAGGUCUCAAGCGUUGUUCGGAUUCAUUGGGCGUAAAGGGUGCGUAGGUGGCGCGCUAAGUCAGGUGUGAAAUUUCGGAGCUUAACUCCGAAACUGCAUUUGAUACUGGCGUGCUUGAGGACUGGAGAGGAGACUGGAAUUCACGGUGUAGCAGUGAAAUGCGUAGAGAUGUGGAGGAACACCGAUGGCGAAGGCAGCCCCCUGGGCCGAUACUGACGCUCAUGCACGAAAGCGUGGGGAGCAAACAGG
rnacentral:rRNA from 1 species